UACAUACUCCCUCUGUCCGGAAAUACUUGUCAUCAAAAUGGAUAAAAGGAGAUGUAUCUAGACGUAUUUUAGUUCUAGAUACGUCCCUUUUUAUCCAUUUCGAUGACAAGUAUUUUCGGACGGAGGGAGUACAUC
rnacentral:pre_miRNA from 1 species